AGUUCCUUCUUAGAAUCAAUAUAAGAUGGAGAGAGAGAACUGUUCUUUCUGUUGGGGUUGCUAAAUCAGGUAUGCGGAAGAAUGAGGUACUUGGGAAAUCAUUUUUGGCCCCAUGGAAGAAGCUCUUAGGCAGUGGGAAAGAAGAAAGUCAGCAACAGAAAGAAGAACAAAGACAUGGAGAGACUGCUCUGCCAUUAUCUGAUACUGAAACCAUAUAAUAUCUCACAUAGUUUCGCAAUAAAAUUAAAUAAAAAAGCCACCCCUAGAAACUGAAAGGAAAAGGAAACAUAAGAACCGAACUAUGCCCAGAGCCUCUGGCACAAGCAGGAGAAGAGCUGUCUAAAUGGCUUUCAAGCACAGGUUUACUGGACGUUCCAAGUGAGAUACAGUUUGAAGAUGAACAGAGCUGCUGAAAAGUUAAGCCUAUUUCAUAUUUUGGAUGAUCAAUCAUAGUUUUGAUCUUACUAUUCGCAUUCUUGUUGAGCCAAUGGUUGUAUAUUUGAUAUUAAAGAACCAUUAGUUUUUUUUAA